AAAAAAGGCUUCUGUUGUGAGUGGCACUCGUAGAGCAGCCUGAUGGCUCUACGUGCAGAAUUGACAUCCAGAGAUUUCGGAAGUGUAAUUUUUUGGUACUUGGGAAGCUGGUGAUCGUUGGUCCUGGCGCCCGC